rnacentral:tRNA from 1 species
GCCUGCGUGGCUCAGCCUGGUAGAGCGAGUGAUUCGUAAUCACUAGGCCGUGGGUUCGAAUCCCACCGUAGGCU